AGCCUGUCUAAUGCCCCCUAAUAGCAUUCCUCUAGACAUGGCAAAGACAGUAGAGCUGUUGUGACAGGGGCCACCUAACAUCUCUAGAUGUAUGUCCUUGCCUCUAAAAUGACUCACCUACCAGGUACAUGAAGAUUGGGGGCACCUAUGUAGGCAUGGGGGGACAUACUGAGUGCAUAUAUGGCCUCUCUUGGGACCAAAAGCACCCCGACAGACUACACAUGGCUUCAGUUCUUCAGUACAAGCCGUGGACGUGUCUGCCUCCAGACACAGCUAGGUGAAGUGUUCUGACUUCCCGUGUGUGUCCUCUGGUUUUUCUCCCGCCAUCAUCACAGAGAGUACACCCUUCUGCAAAGGGUGGAAUUUCGUCAGGGACCCUUGUCAGCUCACUACGCUGCCGUUAGAGGCAUUAGACAGGCUCUCGGGGCCUGUAUUUUGAUCAGUUGAACUCCGGUUGGUUCGGUUUGUUUCCCUAUUUAACACUAGCACAAUAAUCAAAGUCUUUAAAUAUAGACAUUAUUGUAUUA
rnacentral:lncRNA from 14 species